AGAGCGAACGCUGGCGGCAGGCCUAACACAUGCAAGUCGAGCGCCCGUAGCAAUACGGGAGCGGCAGACGGGAUAGUAACACGUGGGAACGCGCCCUUCGGUUCGGAAUAACUCAGGGAAACUUGAGCUAAUACCGAAUACGCCCUUACGGGGAAAGAUUUAUUGCCGAAGGAACGGCCCGCGUCCGAUUAGCUAGUUGGUGAGGUAAUGGCUCACCAAGGCUACGAUCGGUAGCUGGUCUGAGAGGAUGACCAGCAUCACUGGGACUGAGACACGGCCCAGACUCCUACGAGAGGCAGCAGUGGGGAAUAUUGGACAAUGGGCGCAAGCCUGAUCCAGCCAUGCCGCGUGGAUGAUGAAGGCCUUAGGGUUGUAAAGUCCUUUUAACGGGGAAGAUAAUGACGGUACCCGUAGAAUAAGCCCGGCUAACUUCGUGCCAGCAGCCGC
rnacentral:rRNA from 1 species